UACGGAAGGUGCAAGCGUUAAUCGGAAUUACUGGGCGUAAAGCGCGCGUAGGCGGCUUGGUAAGUCGGGCGUGAAAGCCCCGGGCUCAACCUGGGAACGGCGCUCGAUACUGCUGGGCUCGAGUACGAGAGAGGGGGGUGGAAUUCCAGGUGUAGCGGUGAAAUGCGUAGAGAUCUGGAGGAACACCGGUGGCGAAGGCGGCCCCCUGGUUCGAUACUGACGCUGAGGUGCGAAAGCGUGGGGAGCAAACAGG
rnacentral:rRNA from 1 species